rnacentral:lncRNA from 1 species
CGCAGAACAACAGACGUCCCUGCAAGGGUAGAAGCUGACCAGUGCAUUAAUGGAUUCUCCCCAGCACCUGCCCACGAGAGCACAAUCUGAUCUUCCCGUGGUGAAUGCAGAUUCUUUACCACUGAGCCACCUGGGAAUCCCAAGACCAAGACAUUGCCAGUCAAAAGUUCCUAGAUGAGUUGGUCACUCUAAAGGAGAAACAGAUAAAGCCACUUUCACAUCCUCAAGGCACAGAGCAGAAAACUCCCAGUUAAACCACAGAGUUCCAUUAAAAGUUGCCACCCGUAUUCAAAAGCCCGAUUGUACACCUUGGGGUUCUGCCGAAGAAGCACUUACAGGAGUUCAGAGACUGGUGCUGUGAAGUAAAAAUGAAUCGACUUUUAGAAACCACACAGGAUGCUCCGUCUUUGGUAGGCACAGCUCUGUCUCCAUCAGCACCUCUUAAGUAGCAACCCGACCAAGCACCUGGUUCGGUACACAGUGACAGUUCACUGUCUCUCCGGUGGUAACAAUUUAGAGGCAUG